UGGGGAAUAUUGGACAAUGGGCGCAAGCCUGAUCCAGCAAUCCCGCGUGGAGGAUGACGCAUUACGGUGUGUAAACUCCUUUUCUGGUAGAAGACGACUGACGGUAUACCAGGAAUAAGAGACGGCUAACUACGUGCCAGCAGCCGCGGUAAUACGUAGGUCUCGAGCGUUAUCCGGAGUUACUGGGCGUAAAGGGUCCGUAGCCGGAUCUAUAAGUCUGUUUUCAAAUUCUUUCGCUCAACGAAAGGCA
rnacentral:rRNA from 1 species